rnacentral:ncRNA from 1 species
AACGACCGGUCGGACACGCGUGCCACCCAGCAGGCGGGCCCGGCCCACAAGUGGAGACUCCGAGCUCCCACCCGACUGUCCUCCGGGACGGCGGGUCACCCCGGUCAGGCGGCCGCCAUCGUUCCGUACGGACGAUGGAGUCGCCCGGUAGUGCGCCCCGCGAUCCCCGCGACGGUGCUCCGGUAGUGCUUGGAGCCCCCGCAUGUGAUCGUUCGGGGCAUUUUUU